rnacentral:rRNA from 1 species
GACCUCAAAUCGAGUAGGAUUACCCGCUGAACUUAAGCAUAUCAAUAAGCGGAGGAAAAGAAACUAACAAGGAUUCCCCUAGUAACGGCGAGUGAAGAGGGAAGAGCUCAAAUUUUGAAUCUGGCGUCUUUGGCGUCCGAGUUGUAAUCUAGAGAAGUGUUUUCCGUGGCGGACCAUGCAUAAGUCUCCUGGAAUGGAGUGUCAUAGAGGGUGAGAAUCCCGUUUGUGGCAUGGACUACCGUUGCUCUUGUGAUACACUCUCAACGAGUCGAGUUGUUUGGGAAUGCAGCUCUAAAUGGGUGGUAAAUGCCAUCUAAAGCUAAAUAUUGGCGAGAGACCGAUAGCGAACAAGUACCGUGAGGGAAAGAUGAAAAGCACUUUGGAAAGAGAGUGAAACAGUACGUGAAAUAGUUGAAAGGGAAACGCUUGAAGUCAGUCGCACGCUUCGGGACUCAGCCUCGCUUCUGCUUGGUUUACUUCCCGUGGGGUGGGUCAACGUCAGUUUUGGUCAGAGGGAAAAGACUUGGGGAAGGUAGCAGCAUGCGUGCUGUGUUAUAGCCCCUUGUUGUAUACUUUGACUGGGACUGAGG